CAGCCCCGUAGAUGUUUUAUUUUUUAUUUUUUAAACCCUUUCUUGGUUGCCGUCACAACGUGAACCACACAUGCACGUUCUUUCUUAUUUAUUUAUUUAUAUUUCGCCUCUAGGUUUCAGCCAUCUAACCUCUAUUUUUAGAUGCACUUUCACGUCUAUUAGGAAUACAGUGCUACUGCCGCCAGCCUCAUCCAAAGCCAAACCUCUUCCGUCGCACUCCCUGCACCUUCACAGAAUCACCUUGCAGCCGCAGCAAACCACUGACCCACGUUGCCGUGACCCCAUGCCUUCGCGCCGCACCACCUUCAAGUAAUCACCACCCUUGCUCCUCUAUAGCACCUUACACGUCGGAAACAUCCCACGGCAGCAACCCACGCGUUGCAUGCCCUUCCCGAGUCCAAGAGCCACUGCACCUCCUCUUGGCCGUCACCAUCUCACCACACGGUACCACUCUGCACCACCACAGCCCGCAGCUUCCUCCAGUGCCAAGACUCCUUCUCUCCACAGAACCACCAUGUCGUCAGCCCGAUUUCCGUUGACCCAUAUUCCUCAGCCGUCCAACACCGAAGCACUGCCUCACACGGCACCGAAGCACCUCUGUUUUGGUUCUCAAAAACAGAGCAACCCGAGCGACUCCACCCCUCCCACGAAGAAACCUCCAGCUUGCCCGCAACCAUGAGAACCAGUAACUCAAGUCUAGCUCAGCCACAUGAAACCGAAACCACCCCUGUUUUUGAUUCCCGAAAACAGAGCAUGGGAAGCUCUCCCCAUACUCUCUGUUUCCAGCCUUGCUACACGCCGGAAACUACCCAAAAACAAAACCCACAGAAACCGCCUUCCGUUUCCCCCUCGGGUCCGUCGUUCGGCAAGCUGCGUGCGCAGCCUCCCAACCGUGUCUCAGCCAUCUCCCAGCUGUCCCAACGAUAAUUUUGAUGGUUCAGCUGGAGAUCAAGAGUAGGAAUUUUAGCAAGGUGUGAUGAUCGUAUUGAAAUAAGUGUCCGAGAGUACAAGUGCUUAUUUGAGAGGCGUAGUUAGUAAAUUGAUUUCUUUUUGGAUAUGUUGAUUUGAUGAGUUAAGGAUAUUUUCGGGUCUUUGAGGAGUUUUUAAUUUAUAUUAUUGAGAAAUUCUUUGUAGUCCCUAUGAAGGAACGUGGAUAUUUGGAUUUUGUGAAUAAAUGAAUAUUUUAUGGAGUUUUCUGAAUUU